GACGAACGCUGGCGGCGUGCCUUAUACAUGCAAGUCGAACGAACUCGGACUUCGGUCCACAUGAGUGAGUGGCGAACGGGUGAGUAACACGUGAGAAACCUGCCCCAGAGACGGGAAUAACCAAGGGAAACUUUGGCUAAUACCCGAUACCUUCACAGCACCGCAUGGUGCAAUGAAGAAAUGCUCCGGUGCUCUGGGAGGGUCUCGCGGCCUAUCAGCUAGUUGGUGAGGUAACGGCUCACCAAGGCGUCGACGGGUAGCUGGUCUGAGAGGACGAUCAGCCACACUGGGACUGAGACACGGCCCAGACUCCUACGGGAGGCAGCAGUAGGGAAUCUUGCGCAAUGGGCGAAAGCCUGACGCAGCAACGCCGCGUGGAGGAUGAAGGCCUUAGGGUUGUAAACUCCUUUCGGUAGGGACGAAAAUGACGGUACCUACAGAAGAAGCCCCGGCCAACUACG
rnacentral:rRNA from 1 species